ACUGGCAGACUUCAGGUCACCCAGAGUGGCAUGUCCAAAUGUGAUAUAUGCCAUCUCUGAAAUUCAGAGGUCUACCAGGGUUGCACCUUUUCCCUCAUGGUGAACAAUGCAAAGUGCAAAAACUUAUCUUUUAUUUUAGAAGGGAUGUUCUCACAUGCCCCAGACCGCUGGACCCUAAAAACUUCACAACAUGAUUUUUUAUUACUGGAGACAACUCUUCUAUGUACAAAAUGUAUUAACGGCUGGAGCAGAAGAAAUAUACCAACUACAGAUGGCAUUAUUAUCCUCCUAUCCUUGAGCUACAGCUGAAAAAGGAGCCCAAGCAGGCCGGUAACCUGAUCUCGUUCACCAGGUGAGUCCUGGAUGGUGGUGGCAACUACGAUACCAGGAGCAAAACACCCCGGGGGAUUUGCUGGAACCCUCGGUAAGGGAAUAGUGUCUCUUCCCUCACCCCAGCGACGCUCAAUCCGGAGCGCAGCGGAUUCGGUUAUCACUUUGCUCGCCCCAGCCUCUCAGAGCCCUGCACACAGUGGGCGUCUAAUAAAAGCGGUCUGCAUUG